rnacentral:sRNA from 1 species
ACCCGCUGAACUUAAGCAUAUCAAUAAGCGGAGGAAAAGAAACCAACAGGGAUUGCCCCAGUAACGGCGAGUGAAGCGGCAACAGCUCAAAUUUGAAAUCUGGCCCCCCCGCGGGGUCCGAGUUGUAAUUUGAAGAGGAUGCUUCUGGCGAGGCGCCGUCCGAGUUCCCUGGAACGGGACGCCGCAGAGGGUGAGAGCCCCGUACGGUCGGACGCCGAGCCUAUGUGAAGCUCCUUCGACGAGUCGAGUAGUUUGGGAAUGCUGCUCAAAAUGGGAGGUAAACCCCUUCUAAAGCUAAAUACCGGCCAGAGACCGAUAGCGCACAAGUAGAGUGAUCGAAAGAUGAAAAGCACUUUGAAAAGAGAGUUAAAAAGCACGUGAAAUUGUUGAAAGGGAAGCGCUUGCGACCAGACUCGCGCCCGUCGGAUCAGCCGUCGCUCGUCGGCGGCGCACUCCGGCGGGCUCGGGCCAGCAUCGGUUCGCCUCGGGGGGAGAAAGGCGGCGGGAAUGUGGCUCUACGGAGUGUUAUAGCCCGCCGUGCAAUACCCCCGGGCGGACCGAGGACCGCGCGUAUGCAAGGAUGCUGGCGUAAUGGUCGUCAGCGACCCGUCUUGAAACACGGACCAAGGAGUCGUCCUAAUAUGCGAGUGUUCGGGUGUAAAACCCCUGCGCGUAAUGAAAGUGAACGGAGGUGAGAGCUUCGGCGCAUCAUCGACCGAUCCUGAUGUUCUCGGAUGGAUUUGAGUAAGAGCAUAUUGGGCCGGACCCGAAAGAAGGUGAACUAUGCCUGUAUAGGGUAAAGCCAGAGGAAACUCUGGUGGAGGCUCGCAGCGGUUCUGACGUGCAAAUCGAUCGUCAAAUAUGGGCAUGGGGGCGAAAGACUAAUCSAACCUUCUAGUAGCUGGUUUCCGCCGAAGUUUCCCUCAGA